rfam:Schistosoma mattheei strain Denwood, Zambia genome assembly, scaffold: SMTD_scaffold0000076
AUUCAGCUGACGAGUCUCCGAUAGAACGAAAUGUGCAUCCUGGAU